UUCCUCAUUACUGAGGGUCGUGGUCAUG
rnacentral:sRNA from 1 species